rnacentral:rRNA from 1 species
GAUGAACGCUGGCGGCGUGCCUAAUACAUGCAAGUCGAGCGAACGGACGAGAAGCUUGCUUCUCUGAUGUUAGCGGCGGACGGGUGAGUAACACGUGGAUAACCUACCUAUAAGACUGGGAUAACUUCGGGAAACCGUAGCUAAUACCGGAUAAUAUUUUGAACCGCAUGGUUCAAAAGUGAAAGACGGUCUUGCUGUCACUUAUAGAUGGAUCCGCGCUGCAUUAGCUAGUUGGUAAGGUAACGGCUUACCAAGGCAACGAUGCAUAGCCGACCUGAGAGGGUGAUCGGCCACACUGGAACUGAGACACGGUCCAGACUCCUACGGGAGGCAGCAGUAGGGAAUCUUCCGCAAUGGGCGAAAGCCUGACGGAGCAACGCCGCGUGAGUGAUGAAGGUCUUCGGAUCGUAAAACUCUGUUAUUAGGGAAGAACAUAUGUGUAAGUAACUGUGCACAUCUUGACGGUACCUAAUCAGAAAGCCACGGCUAACUACGUGCCAGCAGCCGCGGUAAUACGUGGGUGGCAAGCGUUAUCCGGAAUUAUUGGGCGUAAAGCGCGCGUAGGCGGUUUUUUAAGUCUGAUGUGAAAGCCCACGGCUCAACCGUGGAGGGUCAUUGGAAACUGGAAAACUUGAGUGCAGAAGAGGAAAGUGGAAUUCCAUGUGUAGCGGUGAAAUGCGCAGAGAUAUGGAGGAACACCAGUGGCGAAGGCGACUUUCUGGUCUGUAACUGACGCUGAUGUGCGAAAGCGUGGGGAUCAAACAGGAUUAGAUACCCUGGUAGUCCACGCCGUAAACGAUGAGUGCUAAGUGUUAGGGGGUUUCCGCCCCUUAGUGCUGCAGCUAACGCAUUAAGCACUCCGCCUGGGGAGUACGACCGCAAGGUUGAAACUCAAAGGAAUUGACGGGGACCCGCACAAGCGGUGGAGCAUGUGGUUUAAUUCGAAGCAACGCGAAGAACCUUACCAAAUCUUGACAUCCUUUGACAACUCUAGAGAUAGAGCCUUCCCCUUCGGGGGACAAAGUGACAGGUGGUGCAUGGUUGUCGUCAGCUCGUGUCGUGAGAUGUUGGGUUAAGUCCCGCAACGAGCGCAACCCUUAAGCUUAGUUGCCAUCAUUAAGUUGGGCACUCUAAGUUGACUGCCGGUGACAAACCGGAGGAAGGUGGGGAUGACGUCAAAUCAUCAUGCCCCUUAUGAUUUGGGCUACACACGUGCUACAAUGGACAAUACAAAGGGCAGCGAAACCGCGAGGUCAAGCAAAUCCCAUAAAGUUGUUCUCAGUUCGGAUUGUAGUCUGCAACUCGACUACAUGAAGCUGGAAUCGCUAGUAAUCGUAGAUCAGCAUGCUACGGUGAAUACGUUCCCGGGUCU